rnacentral:rRNA from 1 species
UACAGAGGGUGCGAGCGUUAAUCGGAAUUACUGGGCGUAAAGCGCGCGUAGGCGGCUUUGCAAGUCGGGUGUGAAAUCCCCAGGCUUAACCUGGGAACUGCAUUCGAGACUGCAUUGCUAGAGUAUGGGAGAGGGAAGUGGAAUUUCCGGUGUAGCGGUGAAAUGCGUAGAUAUCGGAAGGAACAUCAGUGGCGAAAGCGACUUCCUGGACCAAUACUGACGCUCAGGCACGAAAGCGUGGGGAGCAUACAGG